rnacentral:pre_miRNA from 8 species
CUCUAUUUCUCUCGCUUGUCCUUCACGGCUCUUUUUGCGGUCUGGGCUUGCUGUUCCUUAAAUCACCAGUCAGGAAGCCCUUACCCCAAAAAGUAUCUGUGUGGGAUCCUGACAGCUGAUGAUGGG